rnacentral:lncRNA from 1 species
GGCGGGGCUCGAGGCGCAGCCCGGCCAACGGCUCGCACCGCCUCCAGAAGACCGCACGGGGGCGCUGCCGGCACGCGUUCCCGCCCUGCAGGCCAGGUUCCCGCGCAACGGCGGCUGAGGGGAGGGGCUGCGUCCAGAGCAGAGCGGCCUCAGGCAGAAAUACUCCUCGUUGCUGCAACAUCAGUAACGAUUUGUGAAUCUAGCUAUGUUGACGACUCUGUUGAAAUCAGAGCAGCUAACUGAUAAGAUUAAACGUGUGCUCACUCCUGAUCGGUGCAGCCUGUGUGACCGUACAAGAUCUGGAAACUUCUGUGACGCAAAAUGUGUUGAAGGAGGUAUGUGGCAUCGCCUGCACUUGUUAAACGAGAGGACAGAAUUCUCACAGAAAAACGCAGAUUUAAUAGUAUCCUCAAGAGAACGAGAAAGAAAAUCAUGCUAAUACCUUAUCCUGGCAGUGCUACACAGCUGGGGAUGCAAAAGAAAUUGAUAACAAAAUGAAUUCAGUUACAGUGACCAUGAGCUCUGGAUCCCGGCCAGAAACAGUUCUGUGCAGCCCCAUAGAGACUCCAGUGAUCAAAGGCAUUAUCUUCUUUUCCAGUGUGCCUGGCAGGGCCAGAGCCUGCAGCACAGGGGCACUUACCCUGUGGGUACAAAGCCACUCUGGGCAGGGGGCUGUGCUGCCCACGCCAAGGAAAGACGCAGCCCCUGUGUGAGCAGUUGUGGUAGAUGAUGCCUUUGAUGGUGCCACCUCCAGGAGGGAAGGCUUGACUGGGAACUGCUGCAGGGUACAAAGGUGGCAACAGCUCAGCUGAAUGUGGCCAGGAAAGAGCUGAAGAGACCACUGAGUGUCAGAGACCAGGGAAACUCAGUAAGAAAGUAACUACAAAGUUGUUACUCUUGCAUUCUUGGAAAAAAUUAUAGCAAAAAGGAAGACAGCUGUGCCUCUGGGAGGCCAGAGGAACUCCCCAAGGGCAGUGAGAUCCAGCCAGCCAGCUGACUUGUGUACCACAACAUCUCCUGCAACACAGCUGGUGGUAGGAGCAAUUGGAUGUAUUCUGUACAGAAAGAGGAAGCGAUCAACCUUGCAAAAAAUGAUCAGAGAGCUCUAUGAGCAGCCUGCAGACAAUCUGCUUAAAUUUUAGGUUUCAUCCUGACUCACCCCUUCCAACAGAAACAAAGGAGAACAGCUUUCUGCUUCACCACCUAGGAAUCCAGAGGUGGAAAUCACCAUCUAUUUAACUGCUGCAGUGUCUAUCUACCUUGCUUCUGCCUGAUAUGUCUGGUCUUGAGUCAGACCUAGAGAUACUAUAAAGCUAUAAAGAUACUAAUUUAUUAGUACUCAUUUAUAUUGUAU